CCUAAUAACUGCGCCCCCUCUUCUAUCUUCCUCAUAUCAUCUCUUCAUCUCUAUCACCACCGAAUCUCAGAUUCAACAUCACAUAUCAAAACUCACCCUCACAAAUCAAAGCUUAAUCUUAACUCCAUCCCUGAAUCAAAACCCACGAAACAGCAGAAAUAAAAUACAAAAAUAAACCCUUUUAACCCUGGAUCUAGCUGUUUUGCUCCUGAAUUCCUAAGGUUUGAGCGUCUACUAUGCAGAUCUCUCCAUUAAAGGUGCUCAACAACUUGGAGCAUCGGCAUCAAGGAACUAAGAUUCUGAUAUUUUUUUGGUAUUUGAUGAAUAAUUUAAGGGAAAAUUAUUUGUGGUCGAGAAAGAUGAUUCAUCAGCUCUCUCUUAUCUCAUCUCUUUUUGGUCCAGAAAUUUUGUUAAUUCGGGAGAAAAUUUGUUUAUUGGGAUGAGCUUACUACUAUUGAUUAGGUUGAAGAACAACAAUCGAAAUCAGAUAAACGAACAUAUGGUGGUCAAAGAAGAAGAGGAAAUUGAAAGUGCAGGUGAUUUAAGAAGAGGAAAUUGUAAGAACAGGUGGUUUUAUAUUGAAUGUAUUUGAUUUUUUUGUGUUUAUUUUCUUAUUCAUAAUGUUUAAUUAGUAAAGGAUCCGUUUGAUUUUGGGUAAUUUCAUGGUGGUGGUGGUGAGUGAUAGUUGAGCCCGGACCACCACCACCACUCAAAAACUUGUCUUUUUGUUGAUGUAAGUCCAUGGAUGUUGCCCAUAUUAUCCGAUUUAUUUCCAUUGGAGUGCAGGCAAUUGGUAUAAUAACCGGAAUGGAAGAUGUACCACAAGAGAAGGUUUCUCAAUGGUAGUUGGACAGGGAAGACAUUUUUUUUGGUCCAAGAGCUGCUUUUAAAUGCCAACAUACAAAAUCUGGAAGAACCCUGAGCUAAAAUAGCUAAUAUACAACAAUCAAUCAUGUCGAAGGGUUUCUUCGCCUAUGGCUGAAUUUUUUUCUGAUAACUAUCGAAUUGUUAACUUAGGUGUGGCGGUCGAGUGUUUGUCUCCACUUCUGUUUGAGAAGUGGUUACCAAGGCAAAAUACAGUUAAUUCUGGGAGAUUCGCCACGGGGCAAGUCUUGAGGUAAUCAUGGAUGAGUAGGACAACUUGAAUGUUGCCUAUUUCUUACAAAUACAAAGGCUGAGCUUGCUGGGUGCUUAAUGGACCUGAUUAGUGCUAAUUUGUUAAUAGAUGAAGGCAUAGAUGGUGAAGUCUCGCAUGCAAGUUAGUGUAGAUUAUCUGGUUUGUUAGCUUGUAACAGGAAUAUUAAGUAAAUGAAGUUUUGAGAAUGGGAAAAGUAUAUUAGAUGAUUAAAGUUGUAAAUUGUUGGCAAUUUUCAAUAAGAAUUUAGUUUUAAUAUUACUAUCAAUUUAAUUAGUUUUUUAUCAA